rnacentral:rRNA from 1 species
UACAGAGGUCUCAAGCGUUGUUCGGAUUCAUUGGGCGUAAAGGGUGCGUAGGCGGCGCGGUAAGUCGGGUGUGAAAUCUCGGGGCUUAACUCCGAGACUGCAUUCGAUACUGCCGUGCUUGAGGACUGGAGAGGAGACUGGAAUUUACGGUGUAGCGGUGAAAUGCGUAGAUAUCGUAAGGAAGACCAGUGGCGAAGCGGGUCUCUGGACCAGUUCCUGACGCUGAGGCACGAAGGCCAGGGGAGCAAACGGG